AAAGCCUGAUCCAGCUAGAUCGCGUGGGCGACGAAGACUGUUUUGGUUGUAAAGCCCUUUACUCAAACAGAGAUUAUGACAGAGUUUGAGAAAAAAGUCCCGGCCAAUCUCGUGCCAGCAGCCGCGGUAAUACGAGAGGGGCUAGCGUUAUUCGGAAUGAUUGGGCGUAAAGGGCACGUAGACUGUUUAGAUUAUCAAAGAGAAAAAAAUCAGAGCUUAACUUUGAAACUUGUCUUGUUUUCUCGUGAAAACUUUUCUUAAAAGUUUUCACGAGAAAACUUAUGGAUCAAAUUUUUAAAAUUUGGACCCGAUACCUAAACUAGAGUGAGUAAGAGGAGAAUGGAAUUCCUGGCGUAGAGGUAAAAUUUGUUGAUAUCAGGAGGAACGCCAAAAGCGAAGGCAGCUCUCUGGGCCGAUACUGACGCUGAGGUGCGAAAGCGUGGGGAGCAAACGGGAUUAGAUACCCCCGUAGUCCACGCCGUCAACGAUGACCUUUCUAGAAACAUUUGUAUCUUCUGAAAGCUUGGUGACUAGAUUUUUCUAGUAAUUGCUGAUGUAAUCAGUCAUCAGGUGAAGGUUUAAACUUUUCUAUUAGCUAACGCGUUAAAUGGUCCGCCUGGGGAGUACGGUCGCAAGAUUAAAACUCAAAGGAAUAGACGGGGGCUCACACAAGUGGUGGAGCAUGUGGUUUAAUUCGAAGCAACGCGCAAAACCUUACCAGCCCUUGACAUAAUCUUUUCACAAUCUUUGUUAUAUUUAAGAUAAUUCUUUUUUUUGUUAAAAAAANNNNNNNNNNNNNNNNNNNNNNNNUGGCUGUCGUCAGUUCGUGUUGUGAAAUGUUGGAUUAAUUUCCUUAACGAACGAAACCCCUCUUUUCAUUCAAAAAAUCUUUGUUUCAAGAAAACAAAGUCUUUUAAAUGAAAUUACAGCUGGUGAUAGACUAGAGGAAGGAAGGGAUGACGUCAAGUCCUCAUGGCCCUUAUGGGCUGGGCUACACACGUGAUACAAUGGUGAAUACAAAGAGAAGCUAGAAUGAAAAUUGGAGCAAAUCUCAAAAAACUCACCCUAGUUCAGAUUGUUCUCUGCAAUUCGAGAACAUGAAGCCGGAAUCGCUAGUAAUCGCGCAUCACAAUGUCGCGGUGAAUAUGUACCUGAGCCUUGUACACACCGCCCGUCACACUCUGUAAAUUGAUAGUAUAGGAAGUCUCUCUCUCUAGUGAAAAAAUGAUGUUUUUCAUGCUGAGAAACUUAUGAUUUUUUCACUGGAACAGGAGCCGAAUAUAAGAUGAGUGAAUGGUGUGAAGU
rnacentral:rRNA from 1 species